GCGCCUGUAGCUCAGCUGGAUAGAGCGUUGGACUACGAAUCCAAAGGUCGGGGGUUCGAAUCCCCCCGGGCGCUCCA
rnacentral:tRNA from 1 species